rnacentral:rRNA from 1 species
AAUGAGCCUGCGAGUUGUGGUGUCUGGCAAGGUUAAGCAAACGCGAAGCCGUAGCGAAAGCGAGUCUGAAUAGGGCGCUUAGUCAGAUGCUGCAGACCCGAAACGAAGUGAUCUAUCCAUGAGCAAGUUGAAGCUAGUGUAAGAACUAGUGGAGGACUGAACCCAUAGGCGUUGAAAAGCCCCGGGAUGACUUGUGGAUAGGGGUGAAAGGCCAAUCAAACUUCGUGAUAGCUGGUUCUCUCCGAAAUAUAUUUAGGUAUAGCGUUGUGUCGUAAUAUAAGGGGGUAGAGCACUGAAUGGGCUAGGGCAUACACCAAUGUACCAAACCCUAUCAAACUCCGAAUACCUUAUAUGUAAUCACAGCAGUCAGGCGGCGAGUGAUAAAAUCCGUCGUCAAGAGGGAAACAACCCAGACUACCAGCUAAGGUCCCUAAAUCUUACUUAAGUGGAAAACGAUGUGAAGUUACUUAAACAACCAGGAGGUUGGCUUAGAAGCAGCCAUCCUUUAAAGAAAGCGUAAUAGCUCACUGGUCUAGUGAUUUUGCGCGGAAAAUAUAACGGGGCUAAAGUAAGUACCGAAGCUGUAGACUUAGUUUACUAAGUGGUAGGAGAGCGUUCUAUUUGCGUCGAAGGUAUACCGGUAAGGAGUGCUGGAGCGAAUAGAAGUGAGCAUGCAGGCAUGAGUAGCGAUAAUUAAUGUGAGAAUCAUUAACGCCGUAAACCCAAGGUUUCCUACGCGAUGCUCGUCAUCGUAGGGUUAGUCGGGUCCUAAGUCGAGUCCGAAAGGGGUAGACGAUGGCAAAUUGGUUAAUAUUCCAAUACCAACAUUAGUGUGCGAUGGAAGGACGCUUAGGGCUAAGGGGGCUAGCGGAUGGAAGUGCUAGUCUAAGGUCGUAGGAGGUUAUACAGGCAAAUCCGUAUAACAAUACUCCGAGAACUGAAAGGCUUUUUGAAGUCUUCGGAUGGAUAGAAGAACCCCUGAUGCCGUCGAGCCAAGAAAAGUUUCUAAGUUUAGCUAAUGUUGCCCGUACCGUAAACCGACACAGGUGGGUGGGAUGAGUAUUCUAAGGCGCGUGGAAGAACUCUCUUUAAGGAACUCUGCAAAAUAGCACCGUAUCUUCGGUAUAAGGUGUGGUUAGCUUUGUAUUAGGAUUUACUCCGAAAGCAAGGAAACUUACAACAAAGAGUCCCUCCCGACUGUUUACCAAAAACACAGCACUCUGCUAACUCGUAAGAGGAUGUAUAGGGUGUGACGCCUGCCCGGUGCUCGAAGGUUAAUUGAUGGGGUUAGCAUUAGCGAAGCUCUUGAUCGAAGCCCGAGUAAACGGCGGCCGUAACUAUAACGGUCCUAAGGUAGCGAAAUUCCUUGUCGGUUAAAUACCGACCUGCAUGAAUGGCGUAACGAGAUGGGAGCUGUCUCAAAGAGGGAUCCAGUGAAAUUGUAGUGGAGGUGAAAAUUCCUCCUACCCGCGGCAAGACGGAAAGACCCCGUGGACCUUUACUACAGCUUGACACUGCUACUUGGAUAAGAAUGUGCAGGAUAGGUGGGAGGCUUUGAGUAUAUGACGCCAGUUGUAUAUGAGCCAUUGUUGAGAUACCACUCUUUCUUAUUUGGGUAGCUAACCAGCUUGAGUUAUCCUCAAGUGGGACAAUGUCUGGUGGGUAGUUUGACUGGGGCGGUCGCCUCCCAAAUAAUAACGGAGGCUUACAAAGGUUGGCUCAGAACGGUUGGAAAUCGUUCGUAGAGUAUAAAGGUAUAAGCCAGCUUAACUGCAAGACAUACAAGUCAAGCAGAGACGAAAGUCGGUCUUAGUGAUCCGGUGGUUCUGUGUGGAAGGGCCAUCGCUCAAAGGAUAAAAGGUACCCCGGGGAUAACAGGCUGAUCUCCCCCAAGAGCUCACAUCGACGGGGAGGUUUGGCACCUCGAUGUCGGCUCAUCGCAUCCUGGGGCUGGAGCAGGUCCCAAGGGUAUGGCUGUUCGCCAUUUAAAGCGGUACGCGAGCUGGGUUCAGAACGUCGUGAGACAGUUCGGUCCCUAUCUGCCGUGGGCGUAAGAAGAUUGAAGAGAUUUGACCCUAGUACGAGAGGACCGGGUUGAACAAACCACUGGUGUAGCUGUUGUUCUGCCAAGAGCAUCGCAGCGUAGCUAAGUUUGGAAAGGAUAAACGCUGAAAGCAUCUAAGCGUGAAGCCAACUCUAAGAUGAAUCUUCUCUAAGCUCUCUAGAAGACUACUAGUUUGAUAGGCUGGGUGUGUAAUGGAUGAAAGUCCUUUAGCUGACCAGUACUAAUAGAGCGUUUG